UACGUAGGGUGCAGGCGUUAAUCGGAAUUACUGGGCGUAAAGCGUGCGCAGGCGGUUUCUUAAGUCGGAUGUGAAAGCCCCGGGCUCAACCCGGGAAGUGCACUCGAUACUGUCGAGCUAGAGUAUCGGAGAGGUUGGUGGAAUUCUCGGUGUAGAGGUGAAAUUCGUAGAUAUCGAGAGGAACACCGGUGGCGAAGGCGGCCAACUGGACGAAUACUGACGCUGAGACUCGAAAGCGUGGGAAGCAAACAGG
rnacentral:rRNA from 1 species